GUGUUCUAAGGUUUUACUACUUUAGGUCAGUAUAGAUAGGUUUCUACAAGUAAUAAGGAGGGAAAACAUUUGGGAAGUAAGUCUCUUUAUGGUGACACACAGAUAACACCUGAUGAAUUUUGAAGAAAGAGAAGACCUACACAUGGCAGAAAUGGAGAUCAAUGUAUUCUAGGAUUGAGAGAUGGUAUAUGUGUAUAGAGGCAGAUCUCUUGGAUUGAAAAGCCAGGAAAGCAUAUUGGUGAGAUGACUACAUUGUA
rnacentral:lncRNA from 1 species